rnacentral:rRNA from 1 species
AUUGAACGCUGGCGGCAGGCUUAACACAUGCAAGUCGAGCGGGGGAAGGUAGCUUGCUACUGGACCUAGCGGCGGACGGGUGAGUAAUGCUUAGGAAUCUGCCUAUUAGUGGGGGACAACAUCUCGAAAGGGAUGCUAAUACCGCAUACGUCCUACGGGAGAAAGCAGGGGAUCUUCGGACCUUGCGCUAAUAGAUGAGCCUAAGUCGGAUUAGCUAGUUGGUGGGGUAAAGGCCUACCAAGGCGACGAUCUGUAGCGGGUCUGAGAGGAUGAUCCGCCACACUGGGACUGGGACACGGCCCAGACUCCUACGGGAGGCAGCAGUGGGGAAUAUUGGACAGUGGGGGGAACCCUGAUCCAGCCACGCCGCGGGUGUGAAGAAGGCCUUAUGGUUGUAAAGCACUUUAAGCGAGGAGGAGGCUACUCUAGUUAAUACCUAGGGAUAGUGGACGUUACUCGCAGAAUAAGCACCGGCUAACUCUGUGCCAGCCGCCGCAGUAA